rnacentral:rRNA from 1 species
UACGAAGGGGGCUAGCGUUGCUCGGAAUCACUGGGCGUAAAGCGCACGUAGGCGGCUUUUUAAGUCAGGGGUGAAAUCCUGGAGCUCAACUCCAGAACUGCCUUUGAUACUGGCGAUCUUGGAGUCCGGGAGAGGUGAGUGGAACUCCGAGUGUAGAGGUGAAAUUCGUAGAUAUUCGGAAGAACACCAGUGGCGAAGGCGGCUCACUGGCCCGGUACUGACGCUCAAGUGCGAAAGCGUGGGGAGCAAACAGGG